rnacentral:rRNA from 1 species
UACGGGGGAGCAAGCGUUGUUCGGAUUUACUGGGCGUAAAGGGCGCGUAGGCGGCCACCGCAAGUCGACUGUGAAAUCUCCGGGCUUAACCCGGAAAGGUCAGCCGAUACUGCGGGGCUAGAGUGCAGAAGGGGCAACUGGAAUUCUCGGUGUAGCGGUGAAAUGCGUAGAUAUCGAGAGGAACACCUGCGGCGAAGGCGGGUUGCUGGGCUGACACUGACGCUGAUGUGCGAAAGCUAGGGGAGCGAACGGG